CGGUAAUGCACGCCGCGACAAAGGCAGGGUGAAUUCUGACUAUGGAUCAGCCUUCUGAUUGUCGUGUGAUGCGACGGUCGAGAACUUAAGUCGAACACCUGUUACCUAGACGUGAGUCGGGUGCGUUCGUUGAGUCGAAGGUCGAUUGACCUCCGGACAUAACUUGAUGGCCGGAUCAUUCCGUAGGGUCCGAUAGUCGAAUGUCGUCCGACGCAUUUAGUCGGAGAAACAAUGACAAGUCGAGUUUUCAUUACCCAGAUCU
rnacentral:lncRNA from 1 species